rnacentral:rRNA from 1 species
UCAUCAUGCCCCUUAUGACCUGGGCUACACACGUGCUACAAUGGACGGUACAACGAGAAGCGAACCUGCGAAGGCAAGCGGAUCUCUGAAAGCCGUUCUCAGUUCGGACUGUAGGCUGCAACUCGCCUACACGAAGCUGGAAUCGCUAGUAAUCGCGGAUCAGCACGCCGCGGUGAAUACGUUCCCGGGCCUUGUACACACCGCCCGUCACAUCAUGAGAGUCUGUAACACCCAAAGCCGGUGGGAUAACCUUUAUAGGAGUCAGCCGUCUAAGGUAGGACAGAUGAUUAGGGUGAAGUCGUAACAAGGUAGCCGUAGGAGAA